AAAGGAAGGGAUGCGGGCCAAAGUGGCUCACGGGCCGCCGGACCCGCUUCCCGGGCCCUCCUGGGGCCAGGCCGGGACCCGGGCCCGCGUUCAAGGUCACCCCGGCAAGUCGGCGGGGCCCGACUCCGGAAGUUAACGCCCGAGGCGCAGCCCGGAGGAACAGACGACCGUCCCCGGGGGCCGGACCGAUGCCGAGGCCCGCUUAUCGGAAGAAGAAAUUUCCACCCGAGGGCCAAACUACCGCCCUCGGGCCCGGGCUCCGUGACAGCCGUGCCGGCUCCAGGCGGCGCGGCCAACAGGCUAAGCCAGCUUUUUCGCCAGUCAGCCCAGCCCCCUGAAAGGAUAAACGAUCUUUCCACCACGGAACACUCUUCCGCUGGACCGACGGAUGUUUCCGGCCUGCCCGAGGUCCCGCUGUCACGAACUCCAAAUUGAAGUUCCAACAUGGGGAAGAAUGUCCUUCUUCCUCCUGGGCUUCCCACUUCCUAGCAUUAACGGGUGCGCCUCACCUCGCCGUGCCGCGAGAAGCAGCGGGGCGCCUAGCGGAAAUAGGCCGAGAACCUGGGCUCUCAUCCCGAUCUUAAGCGCGUCGUGGGCAGAGGACGGGCCUACCAACCCUGUCGUACUGCAUUCUCCCGAACGCUCGGUACGGUGCUCUGAACACAGUAGGCGCUCAAUAAAUAGGAGUGACUGA